CGAAACGCGACGAGUGAAACGUGUUUCUUUGGGUCUCUCACGCCCCUAUGAUUACUGCAGAGCCUCUCGGCAAAGGCAGACGAGCAGAAGCACCCUCUGUACCCGUUUGUACCGCAGUUAAAAGCUUUGCAGGAUAUUCACUUCGUGUAUGAAGUAACAAGAAAAAAUGGUGGCAAAAUUCGCGCCCUGGGGAAUGAGAUCGACAAAAAAAGCGCUGAAAAAAAUCAAAGCUCAGCUGCGAAGAUGCGAAAUUAAAUAAUUCGCCAUAAUGGCCUACAACACAUCGGUAUGGCAAAAAGGGAGGCAAAAUUUGUAAAAAAAAAAAAAAAAGAAAAAAGAGGGUGAGAUCGUUAUCGAGCUAUCUCGACGAUAAACGCCGCAUUCUCGUUAGCCCAUGCGAAGGCGCGAGCAUUCUUAAACUCGUGGGUUGCGAUAGGAGAAAACUAUCCUGGAUGAAUCCUAGAGACGCGAAGUAUUUCAUUAAAAUCGUAAAAGCCUUUGCGAAAGAGGACAUCAACAACGACGAUCGCUUGACACGAAGCCUCCUUCCCAACCUGGUUUUUAGUAUGCAGCUGCACUGCACUAUACGUGCGGCAUUGCACUCGGCAAUAUGCCUGCACACCUAACGAUGAUACAUGACUGUAUGGGCUAACCUCACGACCCGAUAAGUCAUAAAUACAUUUGUUACUAGUAUUUUGUACGUACUCAGUACA